AAGCACCGGCUAACUACGUGCCAGCAGCCGCGGUAAUACGUAGGGUGCGAGCGUUAAUCGGAAUUACUGGGCGUAAAGCGGGCGCAGACGGUUACUUAAGCAGGAUGUGAAAUCCCCGGGCUCAACCUGGGAACUGCGUUCUGAACUGGGUAGCUAGAGUAUGUCAGAGGGGGGUAGAAUUCCACGUGUAGCAGUGAAAUGCGUAGAGAUGUGGAGGAAUACCGAUGGCGAAGGCAGCCUCCUGGGAUAACACUGACGUUCAUGCCCGAAAGCGUGGGUAGCAAACAGGAUUAGAUACCCUGGUAGUCCACGCCCUAAACGAUGUCGAUUAGCUGUUGGGCAGCAUGACUGCUUAGUAGCGAAGCUAACGCGUGAAAUCGACCGCCUGGGGAGUACGGUCGCAAGAUUAAAACUCAAAGGAAUUGACGGGGACCCGCACAAGCGGUGGAUGAUGUGGAUUAAUUCGAUGCAACGCGAAGAACCUUACCUGGUCUUGACAUGUACGGAACCCUCCAGAGACGGAGGGGUGCCUUCGGGAGCCGUAACACAGGUGCUGCAUGGCUGUCGUCAGCUCGUGUCGUGAGAUGUUGGGUUAAGUCCCGCAACGAGCGCAACCCUUGUCAUUAGUUGCCAUCAUUAAGUUGGGCACUCUAAUGAGACUGCCGGUGACAAGCCGGAGGAAGGUGGGGAUGACGUCAAGUCCUCAUGGCCCUUAUGACCAGGGCUUCACACGUCAUACAAUGGUCGGUACAGAGGGUAGCCAAGCCGCGAGGUGGAGCCAAUCUCACAAAACCGAUCGUAGUCCGGAUUGCACUCUGCAACUCGAGUGCAUGAAGUCGGAAUCGCUAGUAAUCGCAGGUCAGCAUACUGCGGUGAAUACGUUCCCGGGUCUUGUACACACCGCCCGUCACACCAUGGGAGUGGGGGAUACCAGAAGUAGGUAGGGUAACCGCAAGGAGCCCGCUUACCACGGUAUGCUUCAUGACUGGGGUGAAGUCGUAACAAGGUAGCCGUAGGGGAACCUGCGGCUG
rnacentral:rRNA from 1 species